GAUUCAAUUUUCGAAUUGGGUAGGAAAGUCCGGACACCAUAGGGCAGCAUAGCGGAUAACAUCCGUCAUUUGUGAAAAUAGGACAAGUGCAACAGAAAGUAUGUACAGUUCGGCUGUAGUGAAACCAGGUAAACUCUAUGUGGUGCAAUGCCAAGUAUAUCAUCAGUUAAGGUCGGCUCGGCUAUUGAUGAGGGGUAGGCAGCAAAAGUGAUGCAGUAAUGUAUGACGCAGAUAAAU
rnacentral:RNase_P_RNA from 1 species